rnacentral:lncRNA from 1 species
AUUUGAGCUAACAAUUCUCUGAUCCUACUGCAUUUAUGACUUGACUAUCCAUUGGCCCACGUGGGUAUCUACAGUAGAUUGAUAGCUCUGAGAGUUCUCAUUUGACCUUGUCACUUGGUUCGGUGAUAUUACAAUAGAAGUAGAAACUUUCAGCAGCCUGUAAGUGAGAACGGAAAUUAUAUUGAGAAAUCCAGAUGUGCAGUUGUGCAAGAGCAAGCUGGUGUGGAUUUUUGAAUGGAUAUUCUGAAGACAACUAGGUGCAUGUCCCAGCAAAGCUUCGCAAAGAUGUCAGUAUUAAUUGUCACCAUCCUCCAGGGAGAAAGCAACAGCCCACAAUUGCCUGCAUUUUCUUUCCUCUUCAAAACCACUUCUGCUCCAAAGACCAUGAACCUGAACUGAAGAAACGACUCCUUCCUGCUGGUGUGAGAUAAUUCAGUCUCCAUGAUGUCUUAAUCCUGGGCCUCCCUUAAUUGACUUCUAACUGUGCUGAACUGUGGCUGCUAGGAGUUGCAAUGUGGAUCGCAAUUUACAAGGAAGAGAAAAAGACCGGUCUCUGUUUGGAAAUUACAAACAUAGAAGAACUUAGAAACAAUGGGUUUCUAGAUUGGGUGGAAGGACUGGCUUGGGAUCCUGAGAGAGCAAGAAAAGUUUACCGGGAGCUUCAGAAAAAGUUAUUCAUCAUUUUUGGAGUGGAUAUUCAGAAGUGACUUCCCUCUUUUGCUCUGGUGCCUGGCUACUUCAAGAGUUGAGCUAAUCACAGGGAAGAUUCAGUCUCAGUUCAGCUGCCUCAUUUGAUCAGCUCAAGACUGAGUCCAACAAAAGUGGUCUGUCUAAUGAAACUCAUUUUCAUUUUUUCUCAUUAGUCUAUACACGAUUGAGACUGUAGAACGACAAAAGAAUAAAAAGAAGAAUGACAAUUAAAAAUCAUUUUCUCUGGCCCUUGAUUUUUGCCUUCUUUUUUUUAAAUGUAGUUACGUGCUCAUUUUUUGUUUCUUUUUUAUUCUCUGCUCUUCUUUUCUAUUGAUUUUCCCAUUUAUGAAGGGGGAAUUAGUAAAUCCAUGGUCUGAGUGCUGAGAUGUUCUGAUAGGCCUUCAAGUUUUCAGCUGUACUCUGAAUCAGAAUAAUAUACUCCAUCAAGGAGACUGACAUUGGCACCACCUUCCCAGAAAUCCAGGAGCGCCUUUGCAUGAGGAAAAGCAGAAGGGAGUAAAGUCAUGAAACAUUGUGUGUGUGUUUGUAUAAAACUGUAUAUUUUUGCUCACAUAUAAUAACUAUAUAUUUCUGCUAAUUUUUCCUUUUAAAGGCUAUUAAGUUACUUAAAAUCCAUUGCCUAAUAAAACUGCAAUUCACCUUUGUAAUUCACUCAUUUGUUUGCUGUCACAGGGAAGAUAGAAAUUGAGCACGUUUUCGGCUGGGUGUGGUGGCUCACGCCUGUAAUCCUAGCACUUGGGGAGGCCGAGGUGGGCGGAUCACGAGGUCAGGAGAUCGAGACCAUCCUGGCUAACAUGGUGAAACCUCGUCUCCACUA